CGAAGCCCACCCAAACUCAUCUCAUUUCUCUCAAUUCUUCACAUUCUUUUUUGGGAGAACUUCAUUUCUCUUCAACCACAUCUCGCACCUUAAGGUAUUUCUUCUUCUUCUCCGAAUCAUCAUCGUCUUCGUUACCUUGCGCGUCUCCUCCAACACCAAACCUCAUACUCUGUUAGGGCUUCUCUUCCAUUUCACCUUUUCCUUUGUUUUCACCGAUUAAAAUCCAUUUUCCAACUUUUCCAUCGAUUAAACACCAUUCUAUCGAUUGAUUCUUCGAUUAGCGCCAUUCUCACCGUUCAAUCUCCAUUUCACACCGAUUAACCGAUUCAUUUUAUGUUUUCCCCCUUUUCUAGGGUUCCAAUGGUCCAUCAUUUCACACCGACACCGUACACUAGAGAACUGCAAUGAGAGGAUGGAGCAAUUACUAAAAACAUGUUUCUACAGAGUUUAGAAUUUAUUCAAUAAAUUCUAACUAUAUAAAAAAAAAUGUGUUCCAGUGGUUCUAGAGCUCGUCCUCAAGAAAUUGUCAGUUGAAGGUCAAGCAUAGCUGAUAAGAAGUCAUGCACAGAAGUAUUUCAUGAAAGUUCAGAAGAAUGGAACAAGUGAACAUGUACCUCUCCCUCGACCCAAAAGAAAAGCUGCUCAUCCAUACCCACAAAAGGCGUCUAAAAAUGGUUAGUGUGACCAACUU